ACUCCUACGGGAGGCAGCAGUGAGGAAUCUUGCGCAAUGGAGGAAACUCUGACGCAGCCACGCCGCGUGCUGGAAGACGGCCCUAUGGGUUGUAAACAGCUUUUGAUAGGGAAGAACCUGGACCUUUCGAGGACCACUGACGGUACCUAUCGAAUAAGCACCGGCUAACUCCGUGCCAGCAGCCGCGGUAAUACGGAGGGUGCAAGCGUUGUCCGGAAUCAUUGGGUGUAAAGGGUGCGUAGGCGGAAGCCUAAGUCGGAGGUGAAAUCUUGCCGCUCAACGGUAAAAUGGCCUUCGAUACUGGGUUUCUUGAGUCCAGAAGAGGUUGGUGGAAUUCGUGGUGUAGCGGUGAAAUGCAUAGAUAUCACGAAGAACACCGGUGGCGAAGGCGGCCAACUGGUCUGGUACUGACGCUGAGGCACGAGAGCGUGGGGAGCGAACAGGAUUAGAUACCCUGUAGGCUCUG
rnacentral:rRNA from 1 species